rnacentral:rRNA from 1 species
UGUCCCAGUUCGGACUGGAGUCUGCAACCCGACUCCACGAAGUUGGAUUCGCUAGUAAUCGCGCAUCAGCCAUGGCGCGGUGAAUACGUUCCCGGGCCUUGUACACACCGCCCGUCAAGCCAUGGGAGCCGGGGGCGCCUGAAGUCCGGGACCGCGAGGACCGGCCUAGGGCGAAACUGGUAACUGGGGCUAAGUCGUAACAAGGUACC